rnacentral:rRNA from 1 species
CAGUCGCCGCGGGAAUACGUAGGGUGCAAGCGUUAAUCGGAAUUACUGGGCGUAAAGCGUGCGCAGGCGGUUCGUUAAGACAGAUGUGAAAUCCCCGGGCUCAACCUGGGAACUGCAUUUGAGACUGUAUGGCUAGAGUGUGUCAGAGGGGGGUAGAAUUCCACGUGUAGCAGUGAAAUGCGUAGAUAUGUGGAGGAAUACCGAUGGCGAAGGCAGCCCCCUGGGAUAACACUGACGCUCAUGCACGAAAGCGUGGGGAGCAAACAGGAUUAGAUACCCGUGUAGUCCCUGUCUCUUAUAC